UACGGGGGGGGCAAGCGUUGUUCGGAAUUACUGGGCGUAAAGGGCUCGUAGGCGGCCAACUAAGUCAGACGUGAAAUCCCUCGGCUUAACCGGGGAACUGCAUCUGAUACUGGAUGGCUUGAGAUUGGGAGAGGGAUGCGGAAUUCCAGGUGUAGCGGUGAAAUGCGUAGAUAUCUGGAGGAACACCGGUGGCGAAGGCGGCCAUCUGGACCGCAACUGACGCUGAGGCGCGAAAGCGUGGGGAGCAAACAGGG
rnacentral:rRNA from 1 species